rnacentral:rRNA from 1 species
CGUGGAUUAAUUGUCUCUAGAGAAAUGAGUGAAAUUUCCUUUUAAAUGAAAAGGUUUAUAUUUUUGUAAAAGACGAGAAGACCCUGUCGAGCUUAAUUAGGCUUAGGAAUUUUUGGCAAACAUUAUUGCCAUUUUUUAGGUUGAAUUUUAGUUGGGGAGAGCUAAACUUUAGAUAAUAGGUUUGAGGCAGACACAGAUCCUUUUCGAGAGAAAAUCGGUAAAAGUUACCGCAGGGAUAACAGCGUAAUUUUUCUUGAGAGAUCGUAUUGAGGGAAAAGUUUGCGACC